CUAGACACAUGGAGUUUUAUUACUUCCAUCCACCUCUACAUUAAAGUCUCCAACAGUGAAGAUGAAAACAAAGGAAGAAAACAAAAGGAGAAUACAAUGACAAUGAUUUUUGAAAAGCAAUAAGGUGGUCAUUUCCCCCUCAUUUGCUUUCCAUAAAAAGAUAAUGGCUUCCCUUGUUUCUGGUCUGGUAACAUUAGCAGACCAGCUUGUAAUGGUAAGACUGGAAGAUGUUUCCUUCAAGUUUUGAUGCUCAGUGAUGGCUUUGAAAUAUCUACAGACUCUGUCCCAGUACCAGGUUUCCUAUUAAGUGAAUACACUUAUUUGCCCAUGACAUAAAAAUUGCCCAAGGAUUGUUGUUUGGUUCUGAUGCCAAUCAUAAUUAUCAACACAGCGCCAUGAUUUAAUCACCACUGAAUUAUGUACACGAGUUCCUAGUUCCAUGGAACACAAAAAACAAUGGUCCUCAGUAAUAUUUUCUACAACCUCAUAAGUCUUUAGUUACAUCAGCAAGUUGGAUACAGUUGGAAUUGUCCAGAAGACAAAGAGGAAGAACAGAUCGAGACAUAGUGUCCUUUACAGUUCCCAGGCAGUUGUUGGAGACACAUUCCACAUCAGGGACACCGCAUUUCUUCCACUGGGUUCAUCACACCAGAUCAGGCGCAGCAAUUUCUGAGACUUAAAAUCAAUGGCUAGUACUGCCCAGAACUCAGUGGA
rnacentral:lncRNA from 1 species